CCUACGGGUGGCAGCAGUGAGGAAUCUUUGUCAAUGGGCGCGAGCCUGAACCAGCCAAGUAGCGUGAAGGAUGACUGCCCUACGGGUUGUAAACUUCUUUUAUAAAGGAAUAAAGUGUGGCACGUGUUCCUUAUUGUAUGUACUUUAUGAAUAAAGAACGGCUAACUCCGUGCCAGCAGCCGCGGUAAUACGGAGGAUCCGAGCGUUAUCCGGUUAUAUUGGGUUUAAAGGGAGCGUAGAUGGGUUGUUAAGUCAGUUGUGAAAGUUUGCGGUUCAACCGUAAAAUUGCAAUUUAUACUGGCAGUCUUGAGUACAGUAGAGGUAGGCGGAAUUCGUGGUGUAGCAGUGAAAUGCUUAGAUAUCACGAAGAACUCCGAUAGCGAAGGCAGCUUACUAAACUGCCACUGACAUUGAUGCUCGAAAGUGUAGGUAUCAAACAGGAUUAGAUACCCUUGUAGUC
rnacentral:rRNA from 1 species